GGUUGUGGCUCAGUGGUAGAGCGCUUGCCUAGUGGGUUCAAGGCCCUGGGUUCGAUCCUCAGCACCA
rnacentral:tRNA from 1 species